GGGGAUGUAGCUCAAUGGCAGAGCUCCAGUCUUCCAAACUGGUGGUGCGGGUUCGAUUCCCGUCAUCCCCUCCG
rnacentral:tRNA from 1 species